CUAUACAUGACUCUGCGCAUAUCAAUAAGCGGAGGAAAAGAAACUAACAAGGAUUCCCUUAGUAACGGCGAGUGAAGCGGGAAGAGCUCAAAUUUGAAAUCUUCAAGGUUCUACCUUGACGAAUUGUAGUUUAUAGGAGUGUUUUCUGUUAGUAGAGUGGCAAAAGUUCUUUGGAAUAGGACAUCAUAGAGGGUGAGAAUCCCGUAUUUGGUCAUUCUUUCUAGCUUUGUGAUACACUUUCAACGAGUCGGAUUGUUUGGGAAUGCAGUCCAAAAUGGGUGGUAAAUUUCAUCUAAAGCUAAAUAUUGGCGAGAGACCGAUAGCGAACAAGUACCGUGAGGGAAAGAUGAAAAGAACUUUGAAAAGAGAGUUAAACAGUACGUGAAAUUGUCAAAAGGGAAGCGUUUGACACCAGUGUUGUUUUUCCGAAAAUCAAUUACGAAUGUUUUGUUUUUGAGAAGUUAUGACUUCAUCGGCUUGCUUCUUUCUUUACGAAACUUUCUUAAUGCACUUUUCGGUUAACAGGUCAACAUCAAUUUCUUUUGUUGUAAAAGGGUAUGAGGAAGGUGGCUUUCUUUUCGGAGAAAGUGUUUAUAGCCUUGUACCUCUGCAAUCGGAGAGAUUGAGGUCUGCAGCGUAGAUCCUUCGGGGUUAGAUACAUUUGUGCUAAGUUAUAGCUUUUCAUAGACAACUUGUUGACUAUGUUUAGUCUUGUAGCUUACUCGCUUAUGCUAUUUUACCUACGCUUAGGAUGUUGAAGAUAUGCGCGACACGACUCUAUACAUGACUCUGCGCAUAUCAAUAAGCGGAGGAAAAGGCACUACCUACGCUUAGGAUGUUGAAGAUAUGCGCGACACG
rnacentral:rRNA from 1 species